rnacentral:rRNA from 1 species
UACGUAGGGGACCAAGCGUUUGUCCGGAUUUAUUGGGCGUAAAGAGCUUGUAGGCGGUCUGUCGCGUCUGCUGUGAAAAUCCGGGGCUCAACCCCGGACUUGCAGUGGGUACGGGCAGACUAGAGUGUGGUAGGGGAGACUGGAAUUCCUGGUGUAGCGGUGAAAUGCGCAGAUAUCAGGAGGAACACCGGUGGCGAAGGCGGCUUUCUGGGCCUUACCUGACGCUGAGGAGCGAAAGCUGGGGGAGCGAACAGG